rnacentral:rRNA from 1 species
GCGAAGGCGGUCUACCAGAACACGUCCGACGGUGAGGGAUGAAAGCUGGGGGAGCAAACCGGAUUAGAUACCAGGGUAGUCCCAGCUGUAAACUAUGCAAACUCAGUGAUGCACUGGCUUGUGGCCAGUGCAGUGUUGCAGGGAAGCCGUUAAGUUUGCCGCCUGGGAAGUACGUACGCAAGUAUGAAACUUAAAGGAAUUGGCGGGGGAGCACCACAAGGGGUGAAGCCUGCGGUUCAAUUGGAGUCAACGCCAGAAAUCUUACCCGGAGAGACAGCAGAAUGAAGGUCAAGCUGAAGACUUUACCAGACAAGCUGAGAGGUGGUGCAUGGCCGUCGCCAGCUCGUGCCGUGAGAUGUCCUGUUAAGUCAGGUAACGAGCGAGAUCCAUGCCUCUAGUUGCCACCAUUACUCUCAGGAGUAGUGGGGCGAAUUAGCGGGACCGCCGCAGUUAAUGCGGAGGAAGGAAGGGGCCACGGCAGGUCAGUAUGCCCCGAAACUCUGGGGCCACACGCGGGCUGCAAUGGUAACGACAAUGUGUUCCGAAUCCGAAAGGAAGAGGUAAUCCUCAAACGUUACCACAGUUAUGACUGAGGGCUGCAACUCGCCCUCACGAAUAUGGAAUCCCUAGUAACUGCGUGUCAUUAUCGCGCGGUGAAUACGUCCCUGCUCCUUGCACACACCGCCCGU